rnacentral:rRNA from 1 species
UACAGAGGGUGCAAGCGUUGUUCGGAAUUAUUGGGCGUAAAGCGCGUGUAGGCGGCUUGGCAAGUCGGAUGUGAAAGCCCUCGGCUCAACCGGGGAAGUGCACCCGAAACUGCAAAGCUAGAGUCUCGGAGAGGAUCGUGGAAUUCUCGGUGUAGAGGUGAAAUUCGUAGAUAUCUGGAGGAACACCGGUGGCGAAGGCGGCAUCCUGGACCAACACUGACGCUGAUGAGCGAAAGCCAGGGGAGCAAACGGG